rnacentral:tRNA from 1 species
CCCGGGGUAGCUCAGGUGGUUAGAGCGUGGGACUCAUAAACCCAAGGUCGAGAGUUCAAGUCUCUCCCCCGGGA